UUUUUCUGGAGAAUGUUCUUCUGUGGAGUUUUUGUGAGGUGUCUGAGCUGAAAAUCAUUGGAUGUUGGAGAGCAUUUGUGUGUCAGCUGAGAUGUUCUUAACCAAACCAUGGAAGUAGAGAUAAUUCUUCUCAUCCUUUCCGCUGAGCACUGGAUCCAACGUCAAGUUAAAUAAGAUGAAUAGAUGGUUUCUGUUUGUGAUGACUUCUGGGGACUGAUAAUGGGAAAAAGUGACAACUGGAUGGUCCUUGUAUGACAAGAAGACAGAGACCAACUAUUUAUUUAUGGACGCUGUUUCUUUGCAUAUAGCAUUCUUUAUAAUGCACAGUCCUGAGGCUGUCUAUUAUACACGGAUGAUAUCUUUUGUAUAAUGCUUUCAUUUCAUAAACUUUAUAUGUACACACUGGCAGUGGACGGAGAUUCCUUCAGGGAUUCCAAACCAGUCCUCACUGCUGGCAUAUAGGGGUUAUUUCCUAGACUGAGGUCGUUCUGCUCAUCUGGAUCACGGCACAGUCGUACUUCUUGGAGAGAGUAAACUGCAAAGUAGAAACAGUGGUGAGUUUAAACCCCUUAAAGAUCUGCAAAAUGAGCAUCAAUGUACACCCUUGGAGGAUUCAUAAGAGUCAUUAAAGGACUGAUUGUACCUAUUUGCAACUUAGCUGGGUGAUAAUAUUUGGGUAAAAUAUGUAGAAAGUUGUUCUCAAAAGCUGUCAUUUCGUGACCUUUCAUGCCAUUUCAUGCCAACCAGUCAAAAAGGAUAAAGUCAGAGAAUCAAAUUGAAAAGUAUUAAGCCUGAAAGAAGAAGGAAACAAUUUCACUAAACCAAUUAAUCAAACUGUAUCGCAGAACUUGAAAAAUCAAUAGACAAGGCAAUUUCAUCAUAUUUUCAUCAACUU